CGGGUGAAAGCUGCCUGUCUCAGACGGUCCACCUCCCAUGCUCAGCCAAGCGUCCAGAGAGUUCUGGGAGGGCGCAUGCAAAGGGUUGUUCUCCGAGAGAGACAGCAUCAUUGCAUAAGCCUGCGGGAGAAGACAGGCUCUUGGGAAAGCUGGGCAGACCCUCCAGGUCCAAGAGAGAGCCCUCCUCCUCUAUACACCUGCACACCGAGGAUGGAUGGAUGGCAGAAAAAGGGCAGUAUGGAUGGGUCGGUUGGUGGAUGGAUGGGUAAAUGGAUAGAAAGAUAGACGUAGGGAAGGGAUAGAUGGAAAGUUAAUGCAAUGGAGGGGGGAAGGAAAUUCAAAGGUGGAAGUUUAAGUGAAAGAAAACAUCAAGAGAAGAGAAAAGAGGAGGUACGAUUAAUAACAGGACAGGUAGUGGGAAUAAAUCGGGAGAAGAAAAAGGAGAGAAGAGUAGAAGCAGAAGCGGACCUCACAUUAGCUAAACUGAAACUGAGGUUUGGAUGUCUGUGAAGGGAAUCUAUACGUUCAGUCUAUGUUUUACUUCUGUCUGUCCUUCUCAGGAUGAAGUGUUGUUUAGUAUUGGCAUUAGUUAUAAUGAAACAAGCUACAAUGGGCGGUUUCUGUUAAAAGGUUUGUCAAUAGAUACAAUAUAAGGUGUACAUUUUCUGUGGUUGUUAAGUGUAGAUUUAGAUAAAGUGUCCAUGAACCCUGACUUAUGUGGUUUUCUGUAUAGUUAACAAAAUGAAUACCUGCGAGUGUGUUCAUAGCUCAUAGCUAAUGGAGCCGUCUCUGUCUCGUCCUCGUCCUCAUCCUCCUCAAACACGCCUGUUGUGAUGGGAGAUGGGGACUCAGGUGCCUCGUCGUGAGACUUCUCUGUCAGGCUGCCUUCCUCCUCCUCCUCAUCGUCGCCCUCCACUUCCUCUUCCUCCUCCUCCAGCCCCUGGAGCCCUAGCUUGGAGUUGGACAAACUGUGGCUAGAUGGACACUCCUCCUCUGCCUGGUCUGAUCUGCAGAGGGAUCAAAGUAGAGAGGAAGUGUUACUAAUGUUGGCAACUGUUUCUGAAACCACUGACUUUUUCCUCCCGUAUUAGUGACGUUUCAGUAUAAGAAACAGGCAUUAAGAGUUAUUUUUAUCCAGUCUGUGGCGCUGCAUGUUCUCAAACAUUGUUACAAAAACAAAAAAAAAAAAGUUUCUAAAAUUGGGAAAGGCAAAACACAUAAACUGUCUGAAGUUGUUUCUGGCUCUUAGAGCAACUUUUAGCCAGCUCUCUUAGCUUCCUGAAGAAGUGGAUAUGAAUGUGAGCAGUCUACCUAGCCAAUCAGGGGCCCUCCCCUAAGGAAAAAGAUGCUAUAAAUCUGAAUCAUGGGUAGUGUAGUAGCCAGGGUUUUUCAGGGAAAGAUGAAUAGAGGAACUAAAAGGGAGAAUAUCUCUG